rnacentral:rRNA from 1 species
UACGUAGGGGUCGAGCGUUGUCCGGAGUUACUGGGCGUAAAGGGCGCGUAGGCGGCCCGCUAAGUCGAACGUGAAAUCCCGGCCGGUCACCACCGGGAACUGCGUCCGAUACUGGCAGGCUUGAAUCCGGGAGAGGGAUGCGGAAUUCCAGGUGUAGCGGUGAAAUGCGCAGAUAUCAGGAGGAACACCGGUGGCGAAGGCGGGUCUCUGGGCAGUAACUGACGCUGAGGAGCGAAAGCGUGGGGAGCGAACAGG